AUGGAUUGGUGCCUUCGGGAACUCUGAGACAGGUGCUGCAUGGCUGUCGUCAGCUCGUGUUGUGAAAUGUUGGGUUAAGUCCCGCAACGAGCGCAACCCUUAUCCUUUGUUGCCAGCGGUUAGGCCGGGAACUCAAAGGAGACUGCCAGUGAUAAACUGGAGGAAGGUGGGGAUGACGUCAAGUCAUCAUGGCCCUUACGAGUAGGGCUACACACGUGCUACAAUGGCGCAUACAAAGAGAAGCGACCUCGCGAGAGCAAGCGGACCUCAUAAAGUGCGUCGUAGUCCGGAUUGGAGUCUGCAACUCGACUCCAUGAAGUCGGAAUCGCUAGUAAUCGUGGAUCAGAAUGCCACGGUGAAUACGUUCCCGGGCCUUGUACACACCGCCCGUCACACCAUGGGAGUGGGUUGCAAAAGAAGUAGGUAGCUUAACCUUCGGGAGGGCGCUUACCACUUUGUGAUUCAUGACUGGGGUGAAGUCGUAACAAGGUAGGCGUAGAUGA
rnacentral:rRNA from 1 species